GCCAACGUAACUUCUGCCAAUUAGAAAAACCAACCAGUGUCAGUCAAGUUCCGUGAAAAAUGCCAUCCCCGCUGGAAACACUGACGUUGCUCACCAUUGAUCUGUCCUGUGGGGAAAACAAAAGUGACUGUGCGUGGUGCCGUUGUGUGAUGUCAGCAUGACAUUGUUUUGAGUGUGGCAUUAUUUCCUGGUGCUCGUUUCCUGGAUUGUAUUAUCCGCUUUCCUUUACCAAGGCAGACAGAACAGCUGCCUUAGCCUGACAACCGGUUGUCCUCAGCGCAAAUGAACUUCAGCUUUGGGAAAUUCAGGCCAGAAAGGUUCCGAGGGGCUCUGGGAGUGACGGUGCUUUCUAGGUCGUAGGUCAUAUGUGGAGAUGGAGGGCCGCUUCCACCCGCUCAGCACUCACGUCAGGUACACAGACC
rnacentral:lncRNA from 1 species